CUGCAUCACUACUACUGCAUCACUACUGCAUCACUACUGCAUCACUACUGCAUCACUACUGCACUCUGUACUACUGCUGUGAAGGUUUGGGCCCAGCACACCAGGGAGCCUGGUAGAUUUCCUCUGCAGCUCUUACUGUCUGGGUUUAGUUUGUUUUCUUUGCUGUUAAUUUUUGUUUCUAGUCCGCCGGGCAUAUGAGCCGGUAUUUGAGGCAAAAGAUCUCUGGGGUUGCCUAAGUAGGCGGACUAGUUUUUUUUUUUUUUUUCGUGUUGUUUGUUUUGUUUGUUUUAAUUGUCACCACUUCCCCAGCGCAGGUCAGGGCGGACCAUCGGGGAGGGUCAAGGUCAUUCUGGGUGCGAGCUGACGGAGGAUCUGAUUUGAGUGUGUAAACGCCACAAGUUUGUUGCAUGCCAAUAGUGUGAAUAUAGUUGCAGUGAUAUUGCAUGCUCAUACAUGGUGUGAUUAUAGUUGAAGUUGCAGUGAUAUUGCAUGCUCAUACAUAGUGUGAUUUAAGUUGCAGUGAUAUUGUGUGACAAGGAGUCUUUUUACUCCCUUACUGUAGGAGUGUGACACUGAAUUCCUCCUCAGUAAAGCAUCAAAAUACCUGCUCAAGCCACCCUAACCCUAACCCGCCCGUAAGACAUUGAAAUCUGCGCCAAUUAUCUUAUGGUGACUCAUGAAUUUUAUGUUAUUUAAUGUAAUAAACCUUGGCACAUUUUCUCUUUAAA